GCUGGUGUAAGUGAUGACCAAUUUUUUUCCCCAUCAGAGCGACAGUGUUGAUU
rnacentral:snoRNA from 1 species